rnacentral:rRNA from 1 species
GAUGAACGCUGGCGGCGUGCCUAAUACAUGCAAGUAGAACGCUGAAGCUUGGUGCUUGCACCGAGCGGAUGAGUUGCGAACGGGUGAGUAACGCGUAGGUAACCUGCCUCUUAGCGGGGGAUAACUAUUGGAAACGAUAGCUAAUACCGCAUAAAAGUCGAUAUCGCAUGAUAUUGAUUUGAAAGGUGCAAAUGCAUCACUAAGAGAUGGACCUGCGUUGUAUUAGCUAGUUGGUGAGGUAGCGGCUCACCAAGGCGACGAUACAUAGCCGACCUGAGAGGGUGAUCGGCCACACUGGGACUGAGACACGGCCCAGACUCCUACGGGAGGCAGCAGUAGGGAAUCUUCGGCAAUGGGGGCAACCCUGACCGAGCAACGCCGCGUGAGUGAAGAAGGUUUUCGGAUCGUAAAGCUCUGUUGUAAGAGAAGAACGAGUGUGAGAGUGGAAAGUUCACACUGUGACGGUAACUUACCAGAAAGGGACGGCUAACUACGUG